rnacentral:rRNA from 1 species
CCUACGGGAGGCUGCAGUGAGGAAUAUUGGUCAAUGGCCGCAGGGCUGAACCAGCCAAGUCGCGUGAGGGAUGACGGUCCUAUGGAUUGUAAACCUCUUUUGUCAGGGAGCAAAGGGCGCCACGUGUGGCGCUUUGCGAGUACCUGAAGAAAAAGCAUCGGCUAACUCCGUGCCAGCAGCCGCGGUAAUACGGAGGAUGCGAGCGUUAUCCGGAUUUAUUGGGUUUAAAGGGUGCGCAGGCGGAAUGUCAAGUCAGCGGUAAAAUUUCGGGGCUCAACCCCGUCGUGCCGUUGAAACUGGCGUUCUUGAGCGAGCGAGAAGUAUGCGGAAUGCGUGGUGUAGCGGUGAAAUGCAUAGAUAUCACGCAGAACUCCGAUUGCGAAGGCAGCAUACCGGCGCUCAACUGACGCUCAUGCACGAAAGCGUGGGUAUCGAACAGGAUUAGAUACCCGAGUAGUC